UCAGUACACGGACAGUCCACGGGAAGGGCCAGCAUGCUGAUAUAUGUGGUCAGCAUGCUGAUAUGAGUUCAGUACACGGAUCAGUACACGGAUCAGUACACGGACAGUCCACGGGAAGGGCCAGCAUGCUGAUAUGUGUUGUCAGCAUGCUGAUAUGAGUUCAGUACACGGAUCAGUACACGGAUCAGUACACGGAUCAGUACAC
rnacentral:lncRNA from 1 species